UACGAAGGGGGCGAGCGUUAUUCGGAAUCACUGGGCGUAAAGCGUGCGUAGGCUGUUUGGCAAGUUGGAAGUGAAAGCCCAGGGCUCAACCCUGGAAUUGCUUUCAAAACUGCCAGACUCGAAUCUCGGAGAGGAUAGCGGAAUUUCCAGUGUAGUAGUGAAAUACGUAGAUAUUGGAAGGAACACCAGUGGCGUAAGCGGCUAUCUGGACGAGUAUUGACGCUGAGGCACGAAAGCGUGGGGAUCAAACAGG
rnacentral:rRNA from 1 species